GUAAAGUUUUAUUCUUGCUUUGUCGUUCAAUUUUUGUUUGUUCUAUAUGUAAGUUUGUGCAUGAUUAUUUUGUUAGUUCUAGAUGGGCUGACAGGGUUUAUGUUUUAAUAAUUCUCAUUAGUUGUUAUUGGUUGAUCAAGUAUUCUUGUAUUCAGCAAUACAUUUUGGUUUCGGUUAAAUUUUGUGCCAGCAGCCGCGGUUAUACUUUGGAAGUGUUUGAAUGUGUUCGGCAUUUUGUAGUUAUUUGUUAGUUAAUUGAUUAUAUUUUGUUAGUUGUUAGGUGAAAUUUUUAUUGUUAUGGUUUUCUUUUAUCUUUUUAGAGGCUAUGAAAUUCUUUUUAUAGACUAGGAUUAGAUACCCUAUUAUUUUAGAAUGUUAAUUUGUUUUUUGCCUGAGUAGUAUUAGUUAUGUUCUUGAAACUUAAAGAAUUUGGCGGUAUCUCAUUCCGUCCAGAGGAAUCUGUCUCGUUAUCGAUAGUCCGCGUUGGACCUUACUUGGUUGUUUUGGUUUGUAUACCGCCGUUUAUUUGAUUAUCUUUUUAGAGUUUUAAAUUUUCUGGUUUCUUUAUUUUGAUUUAUUUCAGGUCAAGGUGCAGCUUGUUUCUAAGUGGAAUGAUGGAUUACAUUGAUUGAUUUGUUUUUGGAUUGCCUUUUUAAAUUUGGGCAUGAAAUUGGAUUUGGUUGUAAUUGUUUGUAGAUUGUUAUUAUGAUAAUUGGUUCUGGGAUAUGCACACAUCGCCCGUCGCUCUCAUUGCUGUUAGAUGAGAUAAGUCGUAACAAAGUGGUUGUACCGGAAGGUGCAGCUGGAUUGAA
rnacentral:ncRNA from 1 species